rnacentral:rRNA from 1 species
GAUGAACGCUGGCGGCGUGCUUAACACAUGCAAGUCGAGCGAAGCACUUAGGAAAGAUUCUUCGGAUGAUUUCCUUUGUGACUGAGCGGCGGACGGGUGAGUAACGCGUGGGUAACCUGCCUCAUACAGGGGGAUAACAGUUAGAAAUGACUGCUAAUACCGCAUAAGACCACGGUACCGCAUGGUACAGUGGUAAAAACUCCGGUGGUAUGAGAUGGACCCGCGUCUGAUUAGGUAGUUGGUGGGGUAACGGCCUACCAAGCCGACGAUCAGUAGCCGACCUGAGAGGGUGACCGGCCACAUUGGGACUGAGACGCGGCCCAGACUCCUACGGGAGGCAGCAGUGGGGAAUAUUGCACAAUGGAGGAAACUCUGAUGCAGCGACGCCGCGUGAAGGAUGAAGUAUUUCGGUAUGUAAACUUCUAUCAGCAGGGAAGAAA